CACUGAACUCUGAUAAAGGCGAAGAAAAUUUUGUGAAAUACACAGAAACGAAAAUAAGCAGGCGCUGGAAGAGUAAACAAGUCAGUCCAAAGCUUCAGUUAAACAGCUCCAGUUCACUUUACUCCUCCGUUUGAUCGUCACCCGGAAUCAGAACCGAUAUAGAGUCGUCGAGUGUGUAAAAAACCAAAGACCCAAAAUGGAAGAAACUAUGAGCAACCUCAACGAACGAUUCCAGACUUUUGUUAACGGACUAGGCGACCGUUAUGAGCCGUACGUGCGCGAGCACCUGUCCAAGGUGUACAUGGUCUUGGGCAGCACUGCCGCCGCUACCGCAGUGGGCGCCCUGCUCCAGAUGCGUGGUUUCCUCGAUCUUGGCGUCCUGGCGGCGGUGGCCACACUAGUCCUUGUCCUGGGCCUGCACUUUUACAAGGAUGAUGGCAAAAACUAUUGCACGCGUCUCAGCAUGCUAUAUGCCUUUGGUUUCUGCUCUGGCCAGACUCUUGGACCGCUUCUUGGUUACAUUUGCAGCAUCAAUCCGGCCAUCAUCCUCUCAGCUCUUACUGGUACCUUUGCCACCUUUGUUACGCUCUCCCUGGCCGCUCUGCUGGCAGAGCAGGGCAAGUAUCUUUAUCUGGGCGGGAUGCUGGUCAGUGUCAUCAAUACCAUGGCCCUGCUGAGUCUCUUCAACAUGAUGUUCAAGUCGUACUUCGUGCAAGUGACUCAACUGUACGUGGGCGUGUUCGUGAUGGCCGCCUUCAUCGUCUAUGACACCCAGAACAUAGUGGUGAAGUGCCGCAAUGGCAACCGAGAUGUGGUCCAGCACGCUCUGGAUCUGUUCUUCGAUGUGCUCAGCAUGUUCCGCCGUUUGCUGAUUAUCCUGACGCAGAAGCUCAAGACCUUCAUGGUUUAAGGCGGAUAUAAUCUCCGAACUAGGAUCGCUGAACACUUUGCAAAAAAAGAUAGUUGAAAAUUCAAAAAUUCCUUGUCAAACGGAGGAGCGAAAACAGAAUGAACGCCGCAAGAGAAACUAAAGCUGGAAGACCUAGAAGGGUUUUAAGGUCCGUUGGCUGUUUUCUCUUUUUAAAAUUUUAUGGGCAUAGUAAAUAAAAACAGGCCGUGUAAAAUUUGGCUAUAAAAAUUACAAAGUAUAAGCAAACAAAACGGUCGUAAUGUAAUAAUUAACCCCCAAACAAGUUUCCUAUUUAAUAAAAAGCACUAAUACCCCACCA